UUGCUCUCUCUCUUUCUCAAAAUAAGCAAAUAAACUUAACAUAAAUAAAUAAAUAAAUAAAUAAAUAAAUAAAUAAAUAAGAAAAACUUCCGUUCUCAAUCUCUUGCCAAGUUUCACAAGAACAGUGAGAGACUUAUUUCUAACAAUGUUGUAGACAAGUAGAGGUUUGAGAAAUGAAAUACUAAGCCUUGUAUAAUGAUACAUAUUUCAGGAAGAAAAAUGGGAUAUUCUGAAACAAAAUAUCCAUGUGAAUGACUUUCCAAGGUCAAAAAUAUAAAGAACCUCUUCACCAGCAUCAGAAUAUUUAUUGGGCAGGAGUCGACAAUGUUAUAAGCAUCUUGGGAGCUUAAAACCGAAAACAUCAUUAACAAGCUUGACCAACAUAAAUAAGCAUGUGUCUCCAAACAAACAAAAAUACGUAACAGUGAAAUUCUGAAAUCCACAUUGAAGCAAGAGGAAAAACCCAUUCACGUUUCUAUAAAAAAUGGUAACAUUUUCUGUAACAUCUCCUGGAAAGCGCAAGCCCCAAACUGGGACUUGGGUCUCCCAGCAAAGCGCAAGGGCAACGCAGAGGCUGCAGGGAGGCGCCCCAGCAAGCACCCUGGCAGUCGCUGUCCUGGCGGGAAGCGCCGUGGAGGCCUCCGCAGCAAGAGCAGAUACACACUUGGAAGAAAGCAAAACCCAACACAGAUGGUCUUGGGCCAUACGAGCAGUGGUACCAGAGCCCCGAUAGCGGCGGUGCAGCCUCGGCGACAUUAUGCACGGAGCCAAAGGAGCAAAAACCCUAAGGGACAGAGAGAGAGGAGGAAGAGGAAAUUCCCUGGCAUCUUCACAAAGGCAAGGGUCUAACGUUGGUAGUAAUCAUGCCACCAAAUUCAAGGACUGAACUUCAGAUAUCUAUUUGGAAUAUGCUAAAGAGACACAAUGAUCUGAAUCUGUGACUGAUCAUCCGCUGGAUGUGUUUUAAUAGGAUCAUACAUACUAAAGUGCAUUGUACACAGCAACAUGGCAACUGAAAAUAAUUACUUAUACUAUUGCUAUUGAUGAUAUAAUAAUGAUCACAAAUAUUAUUAGUAAAUAAAUGGGUGAUUUUAAAAAUUC